ensembl:misc_RNA Metazoa_SRP Metazoan signal recognition particle RNA
GCCGGGUGCAGUGGCGCGCGCCUGUAAUCCAAGCUGCUGGGAGGCUGAGGCUGGCGGAUCGCUUGAGUUCAGGGGUUCUGGGCUGCAGUGGACUAUGUCGAUCGGGUGUCCGCGCUAAGUUCGGUAUCGAUAUGGUGCUCCUGGGGGAGCUCGGGACCACCAGGUCGUCAGGAAGGGUGAACCGGCCCAGGUCGGAGGCGGAGCAGGUCAAAGCCCCGUGCCGAUCAGUAGUGGGGUCGCGCCUGUGAAUAGACACUGCAGUGCAGCCUGA